GACGAACGCUGGCGGCGUGCUUAACACAUGCAAGUCGAACGGAAAGGCCCUGCUUUUGUGGGGUGCUCGAGUGGCGAACGGGUGAGUAACACGUGAGUAACCUGCCCUUGACUUUGGGAUAACUUCAGGAAACUGGGGCUAAUACCGGAUAGGAGCUCCUGCUGCAUGGUGGGGGUUGGAAAGUUUCGGCGGUUGGGGAUGGACUCGCGGCUUAUCAGCUUGUUGGUGGGGUAGUGGCUUACCAAGGCUUUGACGGGUAGCCGGCCUGAGAGGGUGACCGGCCACAUUGGGAAUGAGAUACGGCCCAGACGCCUACGGGAGGCAGCAGUGGGGAAUAUUGCACAAUGGGCGGAAGCCUGAUGCAGCAACGCCGCGUGCGGGAUGACGGCCUUCGGGUUGUAAACCGCUUUCGCCUGUGACGAAGCGUGAGUGACGGUAAUGGGUAAAGAAGCACCGGCUAACUACGU
rnacentral:rRNA from 1 species